CAAAGUACGUGAGGCGGAGCAAAUCACAAAACACAGUCUCAGUUCAGAUUGUAGGCUGAAACUCGCCUAUAUGAAGUCGGAAUUGCUAGUAAUCGCGGAUCAGCAUGCCGCGGUGAAUACGUUCCCGGGCCUUGUACACACCGCCCGUCACACCAUGAGAGUCGAUAACACCCGAAGCCUGUAGUCUAACCUUAGGGGGGACGCAGUCGAAGGUGGGAUUGAUAAUUAGGGUGAAGUCGUAACAAGGUACC
rnacentral:rRNA from 1 species